CCUACGGGAGGCAGCAGUGAGGAAUAUUGGUCAAUGGCCGGAAGGCUGAACCAGCCAUGCCGCGUGAAGGUCAGUGCCCUAUGGGCGUUAAACUUCUUUUGUGCGGGAGCACUCAUGGUCACGUGUGGCCAGACGAGAGUACCGUACGAAUAAGCAUCGGCUACCUCCGUGCCAGCAGCCGCGGUAAUACGGGGGAUGCAAGCGUUAUCCGGAUUUAUUGGUAUUAAAGGGUGCGUAGGCUGUGAGGUAAGUCAGCGGUGAAAUGCCCCCGCUCAACGGGGUGAAGUGCCAUUGAUACUGCCGUGCUGGAAUGCGGAUGCCGUGGGAGGAAUGUGUGGUGUAGCGGUGAAAUGCAUAGAUAGCACACAGAACACCGAUUGCGAAGGCAUCUCACGAAUCCGCGAUUGACGCUGAGGCACGAAAGCGUGGGUAUCAAACAGGAUUAGAUACCCUUGUAGUC
rnacentral:rRNA from 1 species